UAGGGAAUCUUCCACAAUGGGCGAAAGCCUGAUGGAGCAACGCCGCGUGUGUGAUGAAGGCUUUAGGGUCGUAAANNNNUGUUGUAUGGGAAGAAAUGCUAGAAUAGGGAAUGAUUCUAGUUCGACGGUACCAUACCAGAAAGGGACGGCUAAAUACGUGCCAGCAGCCGCGGUAAUACGUAUGUCCCGAGCGUUAUCCGGAUUUAUUGGGCGUAAAGCGAGCGCAGACGGUUGAUUAAGUCUGAUGUGAAAGCCCGGAGCUCAACUCCGGAAUGGCAUUGGAAACUGGUUAACUUGAGUGUUGUAGAGGUAAGUGGAACUCCAUGUGUAGCGGUGGAAUGCGUAGAUAUAUGGAAGAACACCAGUGGCGAAGGCGGCUUACUGGACAACAACUGACGUUGAGGCUCGAAAGUGUGGGUAGCAAACAGGAUUAGAUACCCUGGUAGUCCACACCGUAAACGAUGAAUACUAGGUGUUAGGAGGUUUCCGCCUCUUAGUGCCGAAGCUAACGCAUUAAGUAUUCCGCCUGGGGAGUACGACCGCAAGGUUG
rnacentral:rRNA from 1 species